AUUGAACGCUGGCGGCAGGCCUAACACAUGCAAGUCGAGCGAGAGGCGGACGGGGGAGUAAUGUCUGGGAAAAUGCCUGAUGGGGGGGGAUAACUACUGGACACGGUAGCUCAUACCGCAUACCAUCAGAUGUGUCCAUAUGGGAGUAGCUGGUAGGUGGGGUAACGGCGCACCUAGGCGACGAUCCCUAGCUGGUCUGAGAGGAUGACCAGCCACACUGGAACUGAGACACGGUCCAGACUCCUACGGGAGGCAGCAGUGGGGAAUAUUGCACAAGGGGCGCAAGCCUGAUGCAGCCAUGCCGCGUGUGUGAAGAAGGCCGUCGGGUUGUAAAGCACUUUCAGCGGGGAGGCGUUACCCGCAGAAGAAGCACCGGCUAACUCCGUGCCAGCCGCCGCGGUAAUAC
rnacentral:rRNA from 1 species